rnacentral:lncRNA from 1 species
AGAGGUUACAAGAAUUCUGACACUCAUCACAGUGGAUCCAAUAUCUGGUCCCUUGGGUUUCAUAUAUGUUAGAAGUAUCUUCUCAGGAGGGAAAAGUCAAUGCCAGUCAUAUCCUUUCUAGCUAUUAGAAAUGUCCAUCAGCUUACGAGGAGAUUCUCCCUCAUCUCACAAACUACCUGCAUCUCCACUUCCCUGGAAGAAAAAAAAAAUCUGGACAUACCCAAGCUGUGUAUGUGCCUGAGAUCUUCCCUUCCAAGUCUCCUAGGGGCUGAUCUCAGCAGAGAAAUGGAGACAGUUCAGUCACCAACAGUUUGUUACUGGAUUUUGGAAAAGGUACCAAAGUAAGAAUCCAAGGCUUGUAUUCUUAUCUUAGCUCUGUGAUUAACAAGCUUAGGUAAGGCUUCUAAUCUUUCUGGGUUUCUUUCCUUAUCAAUAAAAUGCGCAAGUCAGAC